CAGGAGAAGCGCCCUUCCAGGAGCUCCGAGGAUCGGGACCGGAGCGCAGCGCAGCGCUCUGACAGGAGGAGAGCUUCAGCAGAACCUUCCUGGUUCUGAUCCAUUCCUGACUAGAGCAGAGGCUGGGGGCUGGAUCGGACCUGGAGCGGUUCUCCACCAGGAUCCAAACAGAAGAACUGAUGGAUCACCUGGUUGCAGGCAGAGAGAAGCAUCUGAUGGAUCUCUAGGAGGGUUCCAGGAGCAGCUUCCUCAGAGGAAAGAUGACUUUCUCUUUCACCUGGAAGCUUUUCUGUCUUCUGCUGGAAAAUUGCCAGUUUCAGUAUCAAUAAGAAGUGAGAAGAAAGCAGAGGAUCAGAGCAGGAGGAGUGGAGAGUUCUGGGUCCGGGAAUCACUCCACUUUUCUCCUGCUGGAUGGUAUUUCUCCGCUCCGGGUGGGGGGGCAGGAGGAUGGAGGGAUGAAGCAGAAAGAGAGAGGAGACCGAACCGGAGAAGGAUGUAGGCGCUGGAAGCCGAGAGGACGCACCCCUCCGAAAGAAGCCGAAUCUGAACUGUAAACCCGAGCGGAAUUAAGUCACCUAAAGGAUAUGAUCGGCUGGACCGGCAGCAUCAGCAUCAGCAGCACAUCAGGAGGAUAUAGUUGGAUUGGAGCAUGUGGAGUUUCUACUGCAGCGUCAGGAUGAAGGGACCUGGAGGGAGAACUAGGAGCUGAAGAGAGUGUGAAAUAUCUGCCGGAGGAUCUCUGACCUGCAGCUUGAUCCAUGAUCCUUUGUAACAUGUGAAUCCUGAAACAAUGCGUGGUAUGCUAAAACGUCACUGAAGGUGUUCGACCCGCUGAGGAUGCUAACCAUGGAGAGGCUGUUGCUCUGCAUGAUGCUGGCGGUUUCCAUGGCGGUGCGGGCGCAGAUCUGUCCGAAGCGCUGCGUCUGCCAAAUCCUGUCACCUAACCUGGCGACGCUGUGCGCAAAGAAGGGUCUGCUGUUUGUUCCGCCGAACAUCGACAGGCACACGGUGGAGCUACGGCUGGCCGAUAACUUUGUUACAAGGUGAUAAACGCUUGAGUGCCGAUUAGAUUCAAUUCUAUUCAGUUUAUUUCUAUAGCUCCAAUUCACAUCAUGUCGUCUCAAGGCUCUUUCCAGUUCAC